CAGCCGCCGCGGUAAUACGUAGGGUGCGAGCGUUAAUCGGAAUUACUGGGCGUAAAGCGUGCGCAGGCGGUUCUGUAAGACAGGCGUGAAAUCCCCGGGCUCAACCUGGGAAUGGCGCUUGUGACUGCAAAGCUAGAGUGCGGCAGAGGGGGAUGGAAUUCCGCGUGUAGCAGUGAAAUGCGUAUAUAUGCGGAGGAACACCGAUGGCGAAGGCAAUCCCCUGGGCCUGCACUGACGCUCAUGCACGAAAGCGUGGGGAGCAAACAGGAUUAGAUACCCCCGUAGUCCCUGUCUCUUAUAC
rnacentral:rRNA from 1 species